UGUGUGCGUGUGUGUGUGU
rnacentral:miRNA from 1 species